AAACCCUCAAGCUCGGCUUGGUCUUGGGUGACGGUCCCCAGCCGGACCGACCCGAAAAUGGCGGCAACGCCAGCGGGCGGUGUCCCGGGUGCUCAGGCGUAGUGACCAAACCCGCUUCGAGCCACCCGGGGAUGCCAGCCGGACAACCCACUAUUUCACAGUUUGACCUCGGAUCAGGUAGGGAUACCCGCUGAACUUAA
rnacentral:misc_RNA from 1 species